rnacentral:rRNA from 1 species
AGAACGAACGCUGGCGGCAGGCCUAACACAUGCAAGUCGAGCGCACCUUCGGGUGAGCGGCGGACGGGUGAGUAACGCGUGGGAAUAUGCCUUUCACUACGGAAUAGUCCUGGGAAACUGGGGGUAAUACCGUAUACGCCCUAUUGGGGAAAGAUUUAUCGGUGAAAGAUUAGCCCGCGUUGGAUUAGGUAGUUGGUGGGGUAAUGGCCUACCAAGCCUACGAUCCAUAGCUGGUUUGAGAGGAUGAUCAGCCACACUGGGACUGAGACACGGCCCAGACUCCUACGGGAGGCAGCAGUGGGGAAUCUUAGACAAUGGGGGCAACCCUGAUCUAGCCAUGCCGCGUGAGUGAUGAAGGCCUUAGGGUUGUAAAGCUCUUUCAGCUGGGAAGAUAAUGACUGUACCAGCAGAAGAAGCCCCGGCUAACUCCGUGCCAGCAACCGC